rnacentral:rRNA from 1 species
UACGGGGGGGGGCAAGCGUUGUUCGGAAUUACUGGGCGUAAAGGGCUUGUAGGUGGCCAACUAAGUCAGACGUGAAAUCCCUCGGCUUAACCGGGGAACUGCGUCUGAUACUGGAUGGCUCGAGUUUGGGGAGAGGGAUGCGGAAUUCCAGGUGUAGCGGUGAAAAUGCGUAGAUAUCAGGAGGAACACCGGUGGCGAAGGCGGGUCUCUGGGGCCGAUACUGACGCUGAGGAGCGAAAAGCGUGGGGGAGCGAACAGG